UUGUAGUAUAGGUUGAUGUUUGAUUGUAGUAUUGGUUGAUGUCUGAUUGUAGUAUAGGUUGAUGUCUAAACGUAUCACUUCUUUCUCUAUUGUCUUAGUUUGAUGUUUUAAUAUAUGGCUUUGCUUGUGACAUGAUCAGUAGCUAAUCAGUACACUCUAACAUUGAAAGUAUGUAAUAAAUUGUUUCUGGUUUGCUUUUUUUUUGGUUGCUUUUGGUAUACUUUUCAAUGUUAGAGUGUGUGAUUAUUGGCCAUCUUUUUUUGUUGCUUUUGGUUUGCUUUUCAAUGUUGUCUUAGUUCAAUGAUACAUUUCAUGCAUUUGAGUUGUUCAAAGAAGUUUUUACCAAGUCUGAGUGUAGACACUUUGCUUAAUGUCUUAGGUACUUCUGGUUUACUUUGUUUUUGAGUAUUUGAUACUAUUAACUUUUCUACUUGUUUACAAGUGGUGCAGGUUUACUCGUGAUGUUUAAAUCAAGACUGGUUAGGAAGAUUACUAAAAUUUUUAAAAACAAAUUCGAUGGUCCCUACUAUAGCUGGACUUGUGUGCCGCGUGAGAGACAAGAAAGAUACUUCAUCGAGUUCGCGAAAAUCCACACCUGGGAUCCCUUGAUAACAGGGACAGUUCAAUGGUGGUUCGAGGAAAUCUGUCAACGCCGGAUGAAGAAUAUGGUGAGCUGCAGUCCAACCAGCAGGACACACCACUGGAACCACACCAACCUCUCCUCUAUCUAACACCGCCUCAAAUCAUUCAACUUGAUUUUAGUUUCCUUUUGUCUGUGUAUGUGAACUUAUUAGGAUAUGUUAUGCUUUGAUUAGGAUAGUUUUUGAAUGGUUUGGAAUGGUACUUGAUUGAUAUUUGAAUGGUUUUUGAAUGCAUUUGCUUUUGAAA